rnacentral:lncRNA from 1 species
ACAUACAUAGAGCAUUAAAUAUAGAUAAAAAAUAACUAAUUACAAAGUUUGUCUGAAAUUGUGAAACGAAUCUUUUGAGCCUAAUUAGUCUAUGAUUAGACAAUAUUUACUAAAUACAAACAAAAGUGCUAUAGUAGCUGAAAACUUUUCACCAAGGGAACUGAACAAGGCCUAGAGCAUAUCUAAGAGACUCUCUAUAUUCUUCCUAGAUACUAGGAAUAGAGAUGAUCUAGUAAAAAAACUAUGCUCCAACGGCUUCUCUAAAUGGUCAUCCAAAUAUAGCCAUCGUCUAUUCCGGAUUUUCGCUAGCCAAAUAUAGAAGACGAGAAUGACUCUCUAGAGUACGCAUGAGAUUUAGCAAAACCGUUGGAGAUUGGACAUAUAUAGAAAGCGAUUUUUAUGUCAAUGGCACUUCAAAUGGUGAUUUAGAAAGGCUCUUGGGGAUGCUCUUAUUGUUAUAUAGACCAUCCAAUCCAAGUGCUGCUUUAUUUGCAAUUCAUGCAAAACUUGAGAAUUUUUCAUUUGCAAAAAGAAAAAGAAAAAGAAAAAGAAAAGAUAGAGAAAGCAAUUGGAGGUAUUAUAGUAGUUUGUCCCCCAAGCAGGUGAGCCGAGCCGGACCUUAAAGUCCUUAACCUGCAUGUAGCCGUUAAUAAGUUUUCCUCCCCACUUACAACUCCUCCUUGAACCAAAACUAAUUAAUUGCGGGCAUCAAACAAGCUACACAAAUAGGCACACAAGCAAUGUUGAGUUUGUGGUUUGGGAUUUUCGCACAAAAUAAACAUGAAUGAGGAAUCGAGAAAUGCGUGAAGCAGUCGGGAUGCAUGAACCACACC